ACGGGUGAGUAACGCGUGGAUAACCUGCCGUAUACAGGGGGAUAACACUUAGAAAUAGGUGCUAAUACCGCAUAAGCGCACGGUUCCGCAUGGAACAGUGUGAAAAACUCCGGUGGUAUACGAUGGAUCCGCGUCUGAUUAGCCAGUUGGCGGGGUAACGGCCCACCAAAGCGACGAUCAGUAGCCGGCCUGAGAGGGUGAACGGCCACAUUGGGACUGAGACACGGCCCAAACUCCUACGGGAGGCAGCAGUGGGGAAUAUUGCACAAUGGGGGAAACCCUGAUGCAGCGACGCCGCGUGAGUGAAGAAGUAUCUCGGUACGUAAAGCUCUAUCAGCAGGGAAGAAAAUGACGGUACCUGACUAAGAAGCCCCGGCUAACUACGUGCCAGCAGCCGCGGUAAUACGUAGGGGGCAAGCGUUAUCCGGAUUUACUGGGUGUAAAGGGAGCGUAGACGGCAGCGCAAGUCUGGAGUGAAAUGCCGGGGCCCAACCCCGGAACUGCUUUGGAAACUGUGCAGCUCGAGUGCAGGAGAGGUAAGCGGAAUUCCUAGUGUAGCGGUGAAAUGCGUAGAUAUUAGGAGGAACACCAGUGGCGAAGGCGGCUUACUGGACUGUAACUGACGUUGAGGCUCGAAAGCGUGGGGAGCAAACAGGAUUAGAUACCCUGGUAGUCCACGCCGUAAACGAUGAUUACUAGGUGUCGGGGGGCCAAGGCCCUCCGGUGCCGCCGCAAACG
rnacentral:rRNA from 1 species